CCUACGGGUGGCAGCAGUGGGGAAUAUUGCGCAAUGGGCGAAAGCCUGACGCAGCGACGCCGCGUGAGGGAUGAAGGUCUUCGGAUCGUAAACCUCUGUCAGCAGGGAAGAACGGUCACUGUGCUAAUCAGCCGUGAAUUGACGGUACCUGCAAAGGAAGCACCGGCUCACUCCGUGCUAGCAGCCGCGGUAAUACGGAGGGUGCGAGUGUUAAUCGGAAUUACUGGGCGUAAAGCGCUCGUAGGUGGUAUGUCAAGUCACUGGUGAAAUCCCAGGGCUCAACGUGGGAACUGCCGUUGAAACUGGCAGACUGGAGUGUGUGAGAGGAUAGUGGAAGUCCAGGUGUAGGAGUGAAAUCCGUAGAUAUCUGGAGGAACAUCAGUGGCGAAGGCGACUAUCUGGCACAUAACUGACGCUGAGGAGCGAAAGCGUGGGUAGCAAACAGGAUGAGAUACCCCAGUAGUC
rnacentral:rRNA from 1 species